GCAUUAUACAAAAGGAAGUAAGGUAAGUACUCUCCUUGAUAGGGACAGAAGAGGUCCUAGUGGCCUUUACAACACAUACAUGGUUAAGCCAUUGUCACCUACUCUGUGGAUUUAACCAUGUUUUUAG